UACGUAGGGGGCAAGCGUUGUCCGGAAUUAUUGGGCGUAAAGAGCUCGUAGGCGGUCUGUCACGUCGGAUGUGAAAACUCGGGGCUCAACCCCGAGCCUGCAUUCGAUACGGGCAGACUAGAGUUCGGUAGGGGAGACUGGAAUUCCUGGUGUAGCGGUGAAAUGCGCAGAUAUCAGGAGGAACACCGGUGGCGAAGGCGGGUCUCUGGGCCGAUACUGACGCUGAGGCACGAAGGUCAGGGGAGCAAACGGG
rnacentral:rRNA from 1 species